GAUGAACGCUGGCGGCGUGCCUAAUACAUGCAAGUCGAGCGAACAGACGAGGAGCUUGCUCCUCUGACGUUAGCGGCGGACGGGUGAGUAACACGUGGAUAACCUACCUAUAAGACUGGGAUAACUUCGGGAAACCGGAGCUAAUACCGGAUAAUAUAUUGAACCGCAUGGUUCAAUAGUGAAAGACGGUUUUGCUGUCACUUAUAGAUGGAUCCGCGCCGCAUUAGCUAGUUGGUAAGGUAACGGCUUACCAAGGCAACGAUGCGUAGCCGACCUGAGAGAGGGAUAGGCGGCCCUGGAAGGGGAACGGGGACAAGAGGACUACGGGAGGGAGCAGUAGGGAAUGUGAGGCAGAGGGCGAAAGCAUGACGGAGCGGGGGGAAGUGAGAGACGAAGGCGUUCGGAGCGGAAAGAUCGGUUACGGGGGAAAAACAGAUGUGGAAGUAAACAAGGAGGGAGUGACGGUAACGAAUCAGAAAGCAACGGCUAACUACGUG
rnacentral:rRNA from 1 species